rnacentral:rRNA from 1 species
CCUACGGGAGGCAGCAGUGGGGAAUAUUGCACAAUGGAGGAAACCCUGAUGCAGCGACGCCGCGUGCGUGAAGACGUAUCUCGGUACGUACAACUCUAUCAGCAGGGAAGAAAAUGACGGUACCUGACUAAGACGCCCCGGCUAACUACGUGCCAGCAGCCGCGGUAAUACGUCGGGGGCAAGCGUUAUCCGGAUUUACUGGGUGUAAAGGGAGCGUAGACGGCAGCACAAGUCUGGAGUGAAAUCUCGGGGCUUAACACCGGAACUGCUUUGGAAACUGUGCGGCUGGAGUGUAGGAGGGGUAAGCGGAAUUCAUAGUGUAGCGGUGAAAUGCGUAGAUAUUAGGAGGAACACCGGUGGCGAAGGCGGCUUACUGGACUGUAACUGACGUUGAGGCUCGAAAGCGUGGGGAGCAAACAGGAUUAGAUACCCCAGUAGUC